rnacentral:rRNA from 1 species
CCGAGAAUUUUUCUCAAUGGGCGAAAGCCUGAAGGAGCGACGCCGCGUGGGGGAUGAAUGGCUUCGGCCCGUAAACCCCUGUCAUUUGCGAACAAACCUUGUGAUUUAAAAGAUGACAAGCUGAUUGUAGCGAAAGAGGAAGGGACGGCUAACUCUGUGCCAGCAGCCGCGGUAAUACAGAGGUCCCAAGCGUUGUUCGGAUUCACUGGGCGUAAAGGGUGCGUAGGUGGUCGGGUAAGUCUGAUGUGAA